UACAGAGGUCUCAAGCGUUGUUCGGAUUCAUUGGGCGUAAAGGGCAAGUAGGUGGUCUCAUUUGUCUAGGGUGAAAUCCUUGAGCUUAACUCAAGAAGUGCCCUAGAAACGGUGAGACUCGAGUACUGGAGAGGGUCGUGGAAUUCCCGGUGUAGCGGUGAAAUGCGUAGAGAUCGGGAGGAACACCAGAGGCGAAGGCGGCGACCUGGACAGUUACUGACACUCAACUGCGAAAGCGUGGGGAGCAAACAGG
rnacentral:rRNA from 1 species